UACGUAGGGGGCAAGCGUUGUCCGGAUUUAUUGGGCGUAAAGAGCGUGUAGGCGGCUUGACAAGUCUGCUGUGAAAGUCCAGGGCUCAACCCUGGGAUGCCGGUCGAUACUGCCGGACUAGAGUUCGGAAGAGGCGAGUGGAAUUCCCGGUGUAGCGGUGAAAUGCGCAGAUAUCGGGAGGAACACCUAUGGCGAAGGCGCACACCUGGCCCGAUACUGACGCUGAGGCGCGAAAGCUAGGGGAGCAAACGGG
rnacentral:rRNA from 1 species